CCAUAGAGAAAAAAAAAGCAUGCAAACAAUGGAAGGUGGAGGAAGAAUGAAGAGAAGUUAGUGGUGAACAGGUAGCUAGUAUAAAGGUCUGAGAGAGAGAGAGAGAGAGAGAUUGCAUAAGACUGCCAAGUGAGAUAUUAAGAAAAAUAGAUAGAUAGACAGAUAGAUUUAAUGAUAGCUAGCUACACUGACAGAUAGAUAGGUAGAGAGAGAAAAGUAGGUGGAGAAAGAGAGGGAGGAAAAUGGAGAGAGGGAGAGAAAAAAGAUUGCAUAUGAGAGACAGAGAAAACAGAUAGAUAGAAAGAGAGAUAGAUAGAUAGAGAGAGAGAGAGAGAGAAAGCACACACAUAUGGUAGCUAAGUGAGAGAUAGAGAAAAAAUAAAAACAAAAACAGAAUAUGUAUAAGUGAGAAUGACAGAAGGGAAGAGAAAACCAGAUGGAGGGUGAGGAAAACUAAUGAGUGGUGGAAUAAUGAGUGAUAGAGGGAGAGACAAUACAAUAGUUCAUAUUAUUUCAUAGAUCGAGUGAGUAUUUAUUUAGUUUACACUUAUCACACCAUCUGGACUAUCGCACUAAUUCUGAGCUGGUGCUCGAGUUGAUUGCUCUCUUUCAGUUCACAGGGAAAGUUUUUUGUCAACCUUCAACAAGUUUUACUUUUCAUACUGAAUGGCUAAAUUCAUAAGAAAGAUGAUGAUGAUGCUUGAACAUGGUCAUAGCCAACUAAAUUGGAACCACUCACUUACCAUCAUGAUUUGGACUGAUGCACAUCAUGUGUUUGCUGCUGAAAUGUUUAUCAAGAAUGGUGAAUUUGGAAGCUUUUUUUUUUUUUGCAGCAUCCUGUAUUCCAUUGCCCUACCAAUUUUGCUCUCUAUAUUUCUUGUCCCCUCUCUAUAUAAUACAUUUUAUAUAGGAACAAAGCCACAAUUCUGAAGGAAGAGUACAGUCAAUUAAUUACUUUAGCACCUGACAAGUAUUUUAUUUCACUGAUACUGAAAGGACAGAAAUUAAUGUUGACCUCAAAAUGAAAAAAGACAUGAUUAAACACAAGGAAUUUAAUCCUUUGCAGUACCGAUUCUGCCAUCAAUCACUCUCAAUAAUUUUCUAAUUUAGACACAAGGCCAGCAAUAUUCUGGGUUGCUAGUUGAUUACAGAGACCCCAGUACUUAAACCAGUACUUUAUUUUAUUGAGCCCUAGAGGGAUGAAAGGCAAAGUUAACUGUAGUGGAGUUUGAAUGCAUAACACUGAGAACCAGCAUUUUUGUCCCACAACCUAAUGAUUCUGCCAACCCACUGCCCUUUAAUAAUAAUUCUAAUUAAGCCACAAGGCCUGCAGUUUUAGUAGGUGGAGGGGCUAGUUAAACUUCAGUAAUUGGUUGGUACUUUAUCAACCCUGGAGGGAUGAAAGGCAGAGCUGACCUUGGUGGGGUUUGAAUUCAGAAUAUAUGCAGGGAGUAUAGUCAGUAUGGUACAGAUUGAUACUUACUUACAUUGUACUAAUUAAUAUUUGAUCUUAGAACAUACAGACAUAGCUAAAUAUUGGUAGGUAUUGACUGUGAUCAGUAGUCAUGCAAUUUGACCACACUAAUAGUAUCAGUUGUUUUUAAAUUUUGUUACUUGAUACCAUUGAUCCCAGUACUUGCCUAGAACUUUAUUUUAUCAACCCUGGACUGAUGGAAGGCAAAGUUGACCUUGGUAGUAUUUGAACUUAGAAUGUAUUGAGAUAGAAGAAAUGUCAUAAAACAUUUCUGUUGCUAAAAUUGUUCUGUCAGCUUCACAUCUUCACCCUAAUAGUAAUCAUAACAUUUGUUUCUAAGUUUGGCAGAAGGUGGUCACUAAUUUAGGGAGCUGGUGUAGUAAAUUUAACCAGCCUCAGUACAUGACUGGCACUCAGUUUUUAAACUCUGCAGAGAUGGAAACAAAGAGAAUCCUAUUGGGAAUUGAACAUGGUUUGCAGAGAGCUAGAACUAAAUACUAGCAGUCCUUUAACCCAAUACCCCCUAUACCUGCCAUAAUAAUAAUGAUUUCAAACAUCAGCACAAGGCUUACAAAUGCUUAGAGAGGGAACAGUCAAAUAGAUUCCUCCCAUCCAACUUGGCUUAUUUAUAUAGUUUAUCAUCCACCCAUCGCAAAGAUGAAAAACAAAGUUGACCUUGAGAUUUGAACAAAAGUGCAAGUAACAAAACACUGCAAGGUAUUAAUCAGGGGAAAUUCAAGCUGAAUAGUAACUUAUUGACUAAAAAUAAGUUUAAGAAAAAAGCCUUGAAGCUUUACAAAAAUUUUGAUAAGUACAGUUUAACCCAAAAUAGGAAAAACUGAAAACAAAAUUUUAGCUCUUCCUAACAAAGUAAAUUUUGAGAGGCAUUCUACAGAUUGUUAAUCAUAUCUUACUGUUUCACUUACUGGAGACAAUUCUGAGAGAUUUUACUUUUGCUUAUAUGUAAUGUGCUGUUAACUUGAAAGGAUCAAGAAAAAAUAUACUCAUUCUAGUGAAAUAAAUAUGAUACUUAUAUGCUAGUGCUCUCAUGCUUGACAUCCUGAUACAAUUAUAACUAUCAAUACUGCUGUAAUUAUUAAAACGAGCAGUGGAUAUGUAACUGAAAUGAACUCAUCUUUUAGGAGGUGUGUUGUUUUCAUCUCAAUGCCCUAUACUGUCUUGUGACAAAGCUGAGGUGCUUAAACUAUUUUACAUGAAGCUUGUUGUUGUUGAUAUAUUUCAAUUUUGCCUGGCAGCAGAUUUCAUCUCAUCAUAAUUGUAUGGAAUAGUACUAAAAGUUCAAUUAAAAAAGAAAAGGCAGGAUGGAGGAAAAGAAAAGUUAGAGUUUAAUAGAGAAACUAGAAAAAAAAAAACGUUGGCAUUUAGCCAAAUAUGGAGGCAGAUACAACAAAGGGAUAUAGUUGAUUGAAAUGCAUCCCCAACUUUCCAAAAAUAAAUUUGAACACUCGUAUUUUAUUUUAUUGACCCUCCAGGGAUGAAAGGCAAACUUUACCUGAUGGGAUUUGAACUCCAGUACUAACAAUUCUGCCAACCCAAUACCAUAAUAAUAGUAACACUUUCUGAUUUAGGCACAAGGCUAGCACUUUUGAGGGAAGGGGUUUACUGGAUUUCAUCAACCCCAAGAUAUGACUCCUACUUUAUUAUAUUCACUCUGAAAAGAUGAAAGGCAAAUAGGAUUUGAACCGAAAGCAUAAAGAGCCAGAAUAUAAUGCUAUAAAGCAUUUUGACUGAUUCUCUAAAUCCACCACUCAAGUAAUAACAAUAAUUGUUUCAAAUCUUGGUACAAGGCCUGCAGUUUUAGGUGAAGGGGUUUGUUGAUUUCAUUGACCACAGUACUUGACUGCUGCCUUAUUGAUCUCGAAAGGAUGAAAGGUAAAGUUUACCCCAGUAGGAUUUCAACUCAGAUCAUAAAGAGCAGAACAUAAUACUGCAAAGCAUUCUGUUCAAUUAUCUAAUGAUCCUGCAAAUCCACCAACAACAAUAAUUUAUAAAAGCCAAAUGGCUUAAAUUCAGAAUAAGGGGUAGAAUAGAUUAUAUCAAUACUAGUACAUGACUUACUCAUUUUAUUGAACUCUGGGGGGAUGCAAGACAAAGCUGACUUUGGCAGGAUUUGAACAUUUGAACUUAGAACAUAAAACCGUGCACCUAAAUAGCAUAGAGCAAUGUGUAUGACACUAAUUAGAUUUUCCAACACUAUCCUCCUAAUAAUGAUAAUUAUAGCAUUAUCAACAGUUUACUCAUCACUUCCAUAUAUAGCACACAAGCAUGCACAAAUUUAUAACACAUAUCUAAACAGUGUUACACACACACACACACAUUAAUAGUCACAUAUAUACAUAGCUGCACACAUACACACUUGUGUAUGCAAGUGUUCUUUACAAAAAAAUUUUUUUUAACUAAGGUUAAAUAUAUUCAGAAAUUUCUCACUCAGUAACUAGAUAUUUUUGGCUUUCAGUUUUAAUUGAAGAAAUUAUAUCAAUUUCUCUCAUUAUUAGUACUAUAUAUAACAGGUAUAUAGAAUAGACCAAACAGCUAUAAAGCACAUAUAUUUAUAUACUUAAUUUUAGAAAAGAUCUUCAAAUAUAAUUUAUGAAAUCACACACACAGAGAAAAGAAAAAUGAAAAAUAUUUUUCAAGAAAGCAUAUGGAUUUUUGAUUUUUCUGAAAUGAGAAGAUAAAAUGUUUCAUUGCACCUUACACAGAUAGGGAUGUUUCAAAUUUGAACAACAUGACUAAUUGUCCUAAAUGACACUAAAAUUCUAAGAGUUUGAACCCUAGACUCCCACCACAGCAAUGUCCAUUGGCUAAGGUGUUUAACUUUUACCGGCUCAGCUUUCCAGGUUUAUAAGCUCUCACUGUAUCUAGUUAUAACUAGCCAUUGCUAGCACUUUCUAAUUGUUGGUUCACUUUAUAUCAAUGAACAAGCCAUUUUCACUGUCAAGCUAUUCAUUCACCUUUGUUCACUUUUUCUGGACCAAGAUUCUGGUAUUUAAAAAAAAAUGAUAUUCAGCUUGUUUAACAACAGCUUCUGCUCUAGUGCUUCAUGUAAUCAGAAUGAACACUCAUCUACAAACCUGGUCAUAUAUAAACAUUCUAUUCCCUCAUACCCUCUUUUAAUGUGAUUAACUGCAGGGUAUUUAUUUAUAUAUAAUCAACUUUAGUAUGUGUUUAUUUAUAAUUAAAUUUGUGUGUUUAUAUGUGUAAUUAACUGUGUUCAUAUAUAUAUAUAUAUAUAUAUAUAUAUAUAUAUAUAUAUAUAUAUAUAUAGACAAAAAUAUAUAGAUGAGAAGACAAAUAUGUCACAAAUGCAAAAAAAAUUAAAAGUGAAAAACAUUUACAAGUGUAAAUAAUUGGCCAACACAGAUUAUAAACUAUUUUAUUCAAACAAAGAUAUAAUUUAAUGUUUCAGGAGGGGAGUUAAUGCUACAGCAGUUAAAUGGAUGAGAAAACAAGGGUGGAAAUAUUACAAAUCUAGAGUGGAACUAGAAAUACUGUGAAAGAAAAAAAUUAGUUGGAGAGAAUUUUUCUUCAACCGCCCCACCUGGUUUUGCAGGUGUCAGCAAGUAAGGGAAAUAACUCCUAUUACAGUUUGUCCGUGAAAAUUUAGCAAUUAUUGUAAUUUACAGAGGUAUUUGUGAUUAAAGAAUUUAAUAAAAUAGAGACAAUUGUUAUUGUAAUAAGACAUAACUGGACUAUCAAUCUAACAUGCUUCUAAGUUAAACAAAGAGUUAAUUAUAGCUGGGCUGAGAAUCUGUGUUUCUGCUUAUUCCAUACCAUUAGGCUAGUAUUUGAAGUGGAAACAUUUAUUUCUAUUGCAGUAGUAUCUUAACUUCUAAGCCAUAUAUACUCCAGUAGUAAACGUAGAAAUAGGUGAACAUAAAGAUGAAAACAGAAAUGAACUGCUUCAAACAGUGUAGAUAUUUAUCAUUAUUACUGUAUUAUCACUGAAUGCUGGGACUUUGCAUUCACUUGUGCAAUAUUCCUGCUGAUAAUGUCUAAUACAUCUCGCGCAAUAUUCCUGCUUAUAAUGUCUAAUACAUCUCAAAAAGUUUCAUUUGAUAGGUUUCUUUAGUUGUCCCCAGCUAUAAGAUCUAACACAUAAACCAGAGCAAACAACAAAAUUACAGUUAUUAACACUAAACACACAAAUAAAACAGUAGUACUUUAAAACUCAGUCAUAAUUAGGUAUGUUUAAGCCUUUUUAUAUCAACCCACCCAAAACUGCCUAUGGUUCUAUGAUGCAAACAUUUCAAAGUGAUCUAAAUUAAAACCUUUUCUCAAAAUUCCAUGUUAAUUUAUAUUUCAAACAUCAGCUUAAUAAUGACAAGGUUAUUUUAUCAAAUUCCUUAUUUUCAAAAUUAACUGAAACAAAGGCAGUAUUUUUCAACAGAAAUAUAGUAACAAAAGGGUUAAAAGAAUUAAACACAAGAAACAAAUACACAAAGUGAGUUCUAGCAGAAUAAAACAGGUAACAGUAUUAAAAUAUUUCCUACAGUUAAAGCUCUAGUUACAAUUUCUGAUUUCCUGAUCAAUAAUGUCACAAUGUUGUGUAGACAUUUUUGAAGACCCUGUAUUCAUUUAUUUACAAGUCUCUACAUCUUAGGACCACAUACUUGGCUGAUAAUAAAUACAGUGAUGGUUAAAAUACUGCUAAAUACUACACUUCAAAAAGAACAAAUGUUGAGAUAUUCAUGUGCCCUAACUUAUAGCAUACUCCUAAGCAUUUUGAUUGGCUGUCUCAAUGCAAUAAAUUUGCAUAAAGCGUUGGUUGAGGUUAUUUAAAAUAAAAUAUAUUAAAAAAACUACCAACAAAUAUUCUAGAACUGAACAAGAGAAUAAAAAUAAUCAUUAACAAUCACAUGUAAAUGAGAUCAAUUAAUUAUAUUUAAAACCAGUUUAAUAAAAAAAAAAAUAUUAGAAAACUUAAACUCCCAAACACAAUUGCCAGUAAAAAUUAUAUUCAUGAAAGUUUGGUAUUAGUCAAAGGGUAAAGCUUUUUGUAUUCAAUUUUUAAACUUUAAAUGAACACUAAAGUGAAAUAUUCCUGAAAGUACUUAAGAACUUGACAGUUGUUUUAAAAAGUAGUAUGUGUCAUUCCAAAACAUUUCAUUAUUAUUACUGAUAAAGAUAUUCAUAAAUAUAAAGAUACUUAUAAAGCUAUUUGUUCAGCUAUGGUUAUUUUUAGAUUCUGUUUAGAUAGCUUUAAAUAAUGCACAAAUGCACAAUUUCAUUCCUCUGAUGGUACUUUAAAAGAACAUCAAUAUUGAAGCUUAUUACUUAUAUUUGAUCACAGUCAAUUCCUGCACUAUAAAGUUGAUUGAAUUAAUGCAUUAUAAAAACUUAAAGAUAUUUGUCAAUCUUAUAUCAUAAACCCCAAAUGAAAUUUAGCUUUACACAUAGGAAAGAAGGGUAUUUAUUUAUUUAUUUAUUUAUGUGUUUCAGUCAAGUGGCUGCGGUCAUGCUGGUGCACCACCGUGAGGUGUAUUAAUAUAUUUUUGUUUUGUAAAUGGCUUGAAUAAACUGGUUAGAUAGAACUUAAAUUCAAAUGAUUAUAUUUUUCUAUUUAUUCAGAGGAAGACAAGUAACAUCCAUAAAUUUUGCAGGUCCUCACAGACUAGUGAGAUCCAUACUAUUAAUGCUCAUCUCACACUGCCUCAAGGGCAUGAAAGAAGGGUAAGAAAGCCGCAAUUCUGGGAAUAAAUGAUUGGGAAAAUGUUUUUAGUGCAGGGCUUAGUGGAGGAGAUAGAGAAAGGAUGACAAAAAUAAAAGUGGAGAUAGACUGGACAAGUAUGGUGUGUGUAUGCAUGUAGAUGGGUACCUUGGUUGGUAUGGAGCUAAGCCUAUUUGAGAAUUAAGGUCUAAAGAAAUUCAAGCAAAGAUUUUAAAAUAUUUAUCUGUGUACAAAUAUCAACAGUUUAUAUUUAAAAAAGAAAUUAACAAAAAGGUAUAAACAAUGUAAGAAAGGAAGGAAAAACUUUGAGCAAAUCAGGUUUGAACACAGUUGAAUAUAUAGAUUAACAAAUGUUUUAAUAUAAUUUUGAAAAUAAAUUUACAUAUUUCUUUUCUCGCUGUAUAUUUCACCCCAACAUGAUUAAUAGCAUUAACUACUUCAUUUGUUGGCAUUAAAAAUGAGUUUCUGAGGCUGUAGGCAAAAAGAAGUUGUACAGAGCCCACAUUAACAGUUAUAUUUAUGUUGUUGGUUGUAGUCAGGUACAAAGGCUAGAGUUAGUAGUGGUCAAAUAAUGUAUAUAGUAUCAAGUUCCCAGUAUGUGUACAUGAACCAGUAAUUUGGUGUGACACCAUGAUACUUAUGGCCUAGAAUGGAUACUUGUGAACAAGUUUCAAAUCUACAGUUCUGCAAUUUAAAUUUGUCCCAAGUUGACUAAGUUUACGAUACUGAGAAGUUGUUUAUCAGACACAUUCCAACUGAUAUGGUCACAAAGUGAAAUUUUGUGAGAAAGGUCUGUAGGCAACAAAACUAUAUCCUAUCCUGAUUAAUACUCAAGAAACUUGGUAAAAUGUCGGCUCUAUGAGGCUGUCUUGAUUAAUCCUUUUUGUUGCCAAAAUUUUAGUGAAAUACACUGCCUUUGUUUCAGCCAUCAUUAAGCUGGCCAUUGGAAAAUAAAUUAACAUGAGCUUUUGAUAGGUUUUAAUUUAAAUCACUUUAAAACCAGCAGUUUGUAUCACAGGAUCAAGAGUGAUCUCAGGCAGCUUGGUAUAAGGGUCAAUUAUAUCCACCACAUAUAUAUAUAAAGGAUUAACUGAUUAUUUAACAUUUAGGUAAAAUAAAGCAAUUGCUAAACUAUUGCUACUUAGUCAAUGAUCAAAGGUGUUCCAGCCAUGACCAUCCUAGUUUUGCAUACCAAGGGCUACAAAGUUCACAGUAGGAUAUGAUUUGUGGUUGAUUUGGCUGUGGAAUGAUUACAUAGAGGCUCUGUCAUUGGCUUCCAAAUGAUUAUAUGUAAUCAAUGUUAUAAAUUAAAUGGUUAAUCAGUUCUAUUUCUUUUUUUCUUGUAAUAGAAAUGGCAAUUGUGAUAGUUCAUGCCAUUGGAUAAAAAAUGUAAUGAAGAGAAAUAUCUAUGACUGUCAGUCUAAAUCACUCGGUUAGGGCUUGUGUGCAGGGUGUGUAUAUGCAUAAUUAAAUGACUUAUUCCAAAAAAUAGCUUGUGAAAUAAGAUCAUCAUUUCACCACAAUGUGGUACAAACAGGAACCUGUUGCUGGGUUGAUGUUGUCUGUCUUUUCACUGUUCCCUUACUGCAAAAUAAUACUGACCAUCACAACAAACAAGUGGCAUUGCAAAUUGUAAGGGAGUUGUUUUCUCAUUAACUAGCAAAAUGCUGAGUUGAAACCCCAACCUCCAUAGGUAUGACUUGAAAUGUGUAUGAGCGUAUGGCGUCAUCUUUAUCCCCAAGUGUGACAAGAUAGUAACCAUGUUUUCUGGUCUUAAAGAUCAAAAGCUAUUUAUAAAUCAGUUUAUAUAAACAAAAGAAAUAACUAAUGAAAUAAAUAAUAUAUAUCUCAAUAAAACUUUACUGGUCAAUAACUAAGAGGUAAAAACUCAACACCAAUGAGCCAAUGGAGGUGCCUCCACAUGUUUAAUUAAUCUGCUGGAAAUAACAACCAGAUCUGUUUUGAAAUAAUACUAAUGUCGUAAGUGAUUCAUGUAGUGCUAAGUAUGAAAUAAAAAUGGAAUGAUCAUAGGUGGUACACCUUUUAAUAAGUAUGCUAGAUAAAGACUGACAAGGGACUAAAAGAGAACAACUUAACACUUAUAUAGCAAAUGUCAGCAGAAUAAUUUCUAAUUGUGCUCUCUAGAAAUAAGAAAAGAAAAAGUACUGGUUUCUUAUGUAAAAAGCUUCAAGUAUAUAAUAAGGGAAAGAAGGAGAUGAAAAGUUAGGGUAUUCAGGAUUAUCCCAAUGGUAUUUAUUAGACAUGAAAAUGAAUGAAAUAGCAAACUAGAAACUAAAACUUUGCUCCUAUAGAAAAGAGUUACAAAACCUGAUGUAAAGAAAGCAGAUCUUAUUACUAAGAUAUGAAAUGGCUUAUAGUACCCUCAGCUCCAUGGUAGUAAUCAAGAUGUUAAAUAAUUUAUGGCACCCUAAGCUCCAAGGUUGUGACUUAGAUAUGAAAUAUUUUACAGUGCCUACAACUCCAUGGUGGUGAUUUAAAUGAGGAGGAGACUGAAAUAAUGAAAAGAGACUUCUGGAAAGUGAACACCUGACAUGACAGAUUGAAACCAAUUCCAGAGUUGGUAACACAUUGUAUCUGUUUGGCCAUUUCAUCUCUACAAUAUCAGAAUAGCAAAUUUAGAAUAAAAAUCCCCAGACAAGCUGAAAGGAGAUACAUAUUUCUUUUUGCUAACAGUGGCCACUAUCAACUAGCUGGAACGAGUGAAAGAGAGACUGCUUUUGGAUAACUAGAGUAUGUAUGUAAUUGCAUUCAUAUUCAACAUGUGUUCCUAUGAAAAUGCAUUGUUACUUAAUGUAGCAUUUCAGUCAUUCUUUUAUGGAACUGGGCAUUAAUUUAUUGUCCUUGUACUCAUAUGAAAUAUAACCCUUACUGAUGGACCUUGAUUUAAAAAAAAACAAAAAAAAACACUAGAUACCUACAGAUACAGACACAAGGCAAGGAAACACCUACUAUACAAACAAGUGCAACUUCAGCAGAUGGCAUGGUGUAUAGAGUUUAAAAGUGAGUAAAACAAAUCAUUUGGUAUUAAUAGUCAUUUGGUAUUGUUAAUCUUUGGAAUGUAAACAAGUAAACUAUAUACCAUGCUAUGCUGCUCUUUAAUUAACUCGAAAUAGUACCAAAGGUGAAGCAUGUCAAAAUGAUGACCUUUCAAAAUUUGAAAAUUCAACUUUUGACUAAAUGUAAACUAUUAAAUAGUUUGUUCGUGCCUUAUUUGGGGUCAUAAUUGGAUAAAUUGAAAUGAUGAAAUAAAACACACAUGCAAGAUGUAAUAGCUUCUGAGCUAUGAAGAACUUCAAAGGUCAGUCAGCAUCUGAAAGACAAAUCUCUCUCUGGAUAGGAUGCCAGCCUAUCACAAGUGACUUUUUGAAAUGGUUUAAUAUUUCUCUUUCCUUAUUUAUCUAUCUAUCUAUCUAUCUAUCUAUCUGUGUGUGUACUCAAUAGAGCAAGGUCAACUGAAACCAAAAGUGUAUUACCUAAAUAUAUAAAGAACUACCUUUAAAAAAUUUCAAAGAUAAAACCUUAGAAGGUAACAGCCCAAUACCAUAUCCACUUAGCAUUUGUAUGCUGUCACAAGUGCUGUAAUGUGUUUCUAGAUCAGAAAAAAACUUUUCAAUGCUCCAGACUAUCUGUCUAAAUGUAGGUGUCAUAGCUAGACAGAGUCCACCACAAUAAGUAUGGAAGAGUUGGGAUGGUCUUGUCUAUCAGACAAGCAUUUUGUUAGCUUCAGUGCCAAGCUCAAAUCCUGUUGCUAGCAUAAACUGGAAUGUUAAGUAUUGCCAAGCUAAUUUUCCUGAGACGCCCAAUACAGAAGCAGGAUGUGGGGGGAAGUAGUGGUCAUGUCUCCCUGACUCCUUAGGUCACACCAUCAAACUUUAAUUACUUCCUUCAUCAAUCAGCUACUUAACUAUCUAUUAGGAAAUGUAAUAUAAACAUGAACAAAAAACUAGAAACUAAAAGAACACUCAAAACAAAUUUAUAGAAGAACAAACUACGAAAAAAAAACUGGAUGAACACUCAAUAAUAUCAAAUAUGAAGAAAAAAUAAACUCUAAAGUAAAAUUAUAAAAUAUAAAGAGUUUCAACUUUCCAUUUUUUUUUCUUUCCUUUCUUUUCUCUGGAGAUCUUCAUUGGAAUUUUUCUAAAAUAUAAUUAUUUGUAAUAUACAAAGGUUGGUAGUGCUUAAACCUUUGGCUAAGCUCUAUAGAAAAAGAGAGCAGCAACAGUACCAAUAAGUAAAAAAAAAAAACUAAAAAAAA